rnacentral:rRNA from 1 species
UACGUAGGGUGCGAGCGUUAAUCGGAAUUACUGGGCGUAAAGCGUGCGCAGGCGGUGAUGUAAGACAGGUGUGAAAUCCCCGGGCUUAACCUGGGAACUGCAUUUGUGACUGCAUCGCUGGAGUGCGGCAGAGGGGGAUGGAAUUCCGCGUGUAGCAGUGAAAUGCGUAGAUAUGCGGAGGAACACCGAUGGCGAAGGCAAUCCCCUGGGCCUGCACUGACGCUCAUGCACGAAAGCGUGGGAG